rnacentral:rRNA from 1 species
CCUACGGGGGGCAGCAGUGAGGAAUAUUGGUCAAUGGGCGGAAGCCUGAACCAGCCAAGUCGCGUGAGGGAUUAAGGCCCUGCGGUUCGUAAACCUCUUUUUCCGGGGAGCAGAGGUCCGGACGUGUCCGGGCCGGGAGAGUACCCGGAGAAAAAGCAUGUGCUAACUCCGUGCCAGCAGCCGCGGGAGUACGGAGGUUGCUAGCUUUAGUCGGAUUUAGUGGGUUUAAGGGGUGCGUAGGCGGGCAAUUAAGCCGGCGGUUAAAUGACGGGGCUCAACCCCGGCCUGCCGGCGGUACUGGGUAACUUGAGUGGGCGUGAAGUAUGCGGAAUGCGUGGUGUAGCGGUGAAAUGCAUAGAUAGCACGAAGAACACCGAUUGCGAAGGCAGCAUACCGGCGCUAUACUGACGCUGAGGCACGAAAGUGUGGGUAUCGAACAGGAUUAGAUACCCGUGUAGUC